rnacentral:rRNA from 1 species
AGCCUGCCCAGUGACCUAGUUCAACGGCCGCGGUAUCCUAACCGUGCGAAGGUAGCGUAAUCACUUGUUCUUUAAAUGAGGACUAGUAUGAAUGGCAUCACGAGGGUUACACUGUCUCCUUUUUCUAAUCAAUGAAACUAAUCUCCCCGUGAAGAAGCGGGGAUAUGUAUAUAAGACGAGAAGACCCUAUGGAGCUUCAAACUAUUUAGCACUGGCUUUAUAUAUCCCUACUUCAGAGUUCUUACACUUAUUCUAGCCUCUUGACUAAUAGUUUUAGGUUGGGGUGACCACGGAGCAAAAAUUAACCUCCACGAUGAACAGAGCUACUCUUGAGCCAAAAGCCACAACUUUAAGCACCAAUAAACUGACACAAAUUGACCCAAUAUUUUGAACAACGAACCAAGUUACCCUAGGGAUAACAGCGCAAUCCACCUUAAGAGCCCCUAUCGACAGGUGGGUUUACGACCUCGAUGUUGGAUCAGGGUAUCCCAGUGGUGCAGCCGC